UUGGCUUGUUUCAGUAAUGCU
rnacentral:siRNA from 1 species